AUUAAAAAGAAAACCACCAAGUGUUGGUUCCAAUAGUUCUUGUUAGCAGAUAAAAGGGAAGGAAACAUCGAACUGCGAUAUUUGUCAUAAAGUUUUAGUUAUUAAAAUCUAUAUAUUAUGGCAGGGGGUGUAGUGGAGACAUCUGGGUUCUUCAUAGUUGGUGAUUGUGUUUGCGCAUACACGCACAAGAACACGCUGAUUACCCAGACCUGACGCUUAGGGGAGGAGCAGAGUCCCCCCAGGUGGCUGCAAUGCAUGCCUGACUCCCCCCACACCUUUGCCCAAUUUUCAGGGAAGCCGAGUCCUUAACUCCCUGGCACGACCCAUAAUUCCUCCACCUAGGUAGCUGCCUGAGGAGUUGGGAAGAGGUCGUCCACCAGCUCGAGUUUUUGACUCAGGAAUAAAAGCUGUGGGUUCCAGUGUUCUUUGGAAAGUUUCUGCAUAAAUGGCCAGGUGGCAGAACUUUGCAGAUUUUGCCAUAGCUCAAGAAAAUAACUAUUACUACUACUGGCAAAGGUGAGUGGAUUUUUUUCCUGACUUUGAAUGGAAAUGAAAGCUAUUAGGGUUCUAAUUAACACAAUCCUUUUGGCAGCUUUGAACAUAAGUGUUUUUGAGCAGAUGAAGCAGAAAUCACUGUUACUUCAAAUUUCCUGGAUAAAGGGAAGGUGUUGAGCUAGGUGUGGGGAUGCAAGCCUGUCAUCCUAGCACUCGGGAGGCUGAAGCAGGAUGGCUGGGAGUCCUGGACAACAAAGCGAGUCCUUAUCUCAACCUCGCUCCCCCCAAAAAAAACAGAAAAAGGGGGGUUAUUGUUGUGAAUGCUUACGCCCUGAUUGGCGAUGGUCGUCAUUACUGUCUUCUUGGCUCCACCCUUAGAGAGAAGCCUGAGCUCCAACCUGACCAGGGUUACGGCUGUGGCAUCUGGUAUGAGCAGCCAUGGGGCUCUUACACUCCAUCCAGGUACAGCUACAGCUGCGCAGUGGCUGGAAAUGGACCUCAGCCUUUUAUGUACAAGGUGGCCGUACACUCAGCUGGGACUUCAGUGAUUCUCCAGGAAGCCAAGCUGAAAACCAACUUUCCAGCUGAAGGCCAAGAUGAAGACUCACUAGAAGAUCCAAAUCUCCCUUUGAAUAUUGAGGAAUUAAACAAGGAGUUCAUGGCACAAAGUGAAGAGCUCUACGACUCUCUCAUGGAUUGUCACUGGCAGCCCCUGGACACAGUGCACUCUGACAUCCCCGAUCAGACCCCAAAGUGA
rnacentral:lncRNA from 1 species